rnacentral:tRNA from 1 species
CGGGGCGUGGCUCAGCCUGGUAGAGCGCCCGGUUCGGGACCGGGAGGUCGUUGGUUCAAAUCCAAUCGCCCCGACCA